CACAUCGGCCGCGCAGCCGUUAACUUCGGGCAUGCGCUCGGGCGCGAACCCGGAUGCAAAAGGCAUAGACGACAGUGGCUGAUGCCGGUACUGGGAACCGAGCCCGGCACCACCUUCAGGCUUUCAGGUUUCCAGGCCUAGAUUUGCGUCUGGUUUUGCCAUCACACUGCUACUUUCCUGCCAACAGACAAAGGGCCUCCAGAUCACAACUGUGAGGAAAUGAUGGAUGGAGUUGACUGUAACAGACCAGACUUAAUGGAUGUCUCCCUCACAGAUUCGGAACUUGAACUCUUUACAGAUGGAAGCAGAUUUGUCCAGAGAGGACAAUGGAAAGCUGGGUUCAGAGUCACUGCUGCUAAUGAUAUCACAUAGGCUGAAGCCCUGUUGCAAGGAUGGUACACAUAGCUAGCUCAACUUUGGGCAUUGGCCCAGGCAUUAUGAUGGGCAAAAUCUAUACUGAUUCAAAGAAUGCCUUUGCCACCCUGCAUGUGAAUGUAGUGAUCUACAAGGAAAGAAAGCUACUGACAUCAGAAGGAAAAGAGAUUAAGAAGAAGGAAGAAAAAUCUCCAAAUGAUGGAUGCAGUCUGGGAGCCAUCCCAGGGUGCAGGGGCCACAAAAAAGGCUCAGACUGUGUCAGCAGGGGAAAUCACCUGGCUGACCGGGUGGCAAAGGAGGCUGCAGAGAAACUAAGUUCCCUCAGAGAGCUGAAUCAAACCACCAAGCUCUUGAGGGCCCCAGAGCUGCCUCCUACCCCUAAUUAUACUAAGGAAGAGGAACAGUAGGCAAAGGAAUAAAGGAAGAAGGUAGCUGGUGGAAGCUGCCUGACCAAAGACUCUUUGCCCCAGUAUUGUAGCACAUGUGCACAAACUAACACUAAAUUAAGCCCCGGGGUACAAACAACAGGAACCAGGCCUUUCAAGGAUGUGCAGAUAGAUUUCACAGAGGUCAAGACCUGUUGGGAAUACCAAUACCUCCUGGUCCUUGUCUGUUCUUAUUCAGGGUGGGUUGAAGCUUUUCCUAGAAGCACAGAAAAAGCAGAAGUAGUAAAGGCCCUUUCGAGAGAAGUUAUUCCCAGAUACAGGCUUCCGCUCUCUAUCGGAUCAGAUAACAGACCGGGCUUCAUUGCAGAAAUAGACCAAGGCCUGGCUCAGAUGUUAAAAAUAAAAUGGAAACUCCAAGCAGCAUAUAGACCUCAAAGCUCAGGUAAAGUAGAACACAUGAAUUGGAUCUUGAAAACCACUUUAGCUGCACUCUGCCAGGAAACUCAGUCCCCCUGAAUGGAAAUAUUACCAUUAGCCCUACAAAGAGCACACUGUACCCCACAACCCUCUGGUUAACCACUCAUCCUUUGAGAUUCUCUAUGGCAGAUCCCCCUCUCAGGUUUAGGGGAGACCUCAAGCAGAUUGGAAACUUGGAAAUGUCUUGACAUCUCCAAGCCCUGGGAAAAAUCCUACACCAUACCUUCCAAGAAGUUUCAGAAAGGAUCCCCAUCCCCAUGGGUAACUGGGCUCAUCCCCACCAAACAGGAGACAUGAUUUGGGCAAAGAAUUGGAAAAAGGAGCCAUUCCAGCCCACUGGUCCCCAUCUGGUAAUAUUGGCAAUUCCCACUUCUGUUAAGGUUGCAUGUGUUACUCCCUGGAUCCAUCACUCCUAGAUGAAGAAUGCAAUUCUAACAGACCCUAACAAUUGGCAAACAGUAUGGGACCCAACUACCCCCAUUAAAUUAAGCACAGAGAAUGACCCAGGAAUCCACAGCAAAUAGAACUCCAGCCCUGCUCUGACCAUACUCCAGAGGCUGGUCGGUCAGUGCACAGCAGAAGCUUGAGGAUUCACCUAUCAAAAUAUAAAUGAACCCCCUCUGUCACAUCUAUCCCUUGCUGCUAAUAAGCACUGUUGCUAUAUGCCUUGCUGUUGGAUUAGAUGUCACUGAACCCUAAGAUUGGACAUGGGUCAGAGAUUGUGACUAGCCUCCUGCUAUCUCCUUAGAGUAGGAAGUUGUGCUGCUGUCUGGUUGUCUAUAGCCUGAACACACUCCCCUCCCCAUUCCUUUCAGCUAUUAAUGCUCCUGGAUUACACUUUGCCACCUCUCUUUUAUGGGUUACUAUAACCCUAGCAAACUGACAAUGGGAAAGGGAACUUAUGUUGUUACCUAUCUUUCAUACUUUGUUAUCAUAAAAUACAUACCUCCCUUUCCACAUGCUCGCUACACGUGCUCCCAGUACACUGAACCCAGCACUCAUUUUACACCCUGCCUCUCCACAGACAACCAUGCAGACAUAAGGGGACAACUUAUGUUUAUGGAAUGGCUACUGUGGAACUUGGGGAACUACUUGUUACCUUCAACCCAGGCCUCAUCAUCCCUUCAGUCUCUUGGGUGGGCCCGGACUUGUGCACCCACUCCCCACUCCCUUAUUCCAUACAAACCACCCACGCCUCUUAAUUUGGACUCCCAGUUGGACCUGUUGCUAAGUGCAGCCCCACUACCUUCUUAAUGAUACCAACCUUCAGCUGGCCAAAUAUUGCUGGUUGUGCUUAUCCAUGGAUUACUUAUUAGCCACGCCAAUACUAUUGGGAAAUUUUACAGCCACAGAGCCCCCUCCAAAUUCAUCCAUGAGACCCAUUUAGGGGCAGUCAUACUGACUCAACAGGCUCCUGAAUGCAUGACAGCAAUGAAGGGGCAGAGCCUUCAUUGGCAAUUUAACUAGGGACCAACGUGACCAAGCAUUAACAGGUGGAUGGCCCACAAACACAACAUGGUGCCACCCCCAACAAGGCCUAUUCAUUAUAUGUGAGACAGAAGGCUUAUGUAUGUCUGCCCACUAAUUAGACAAGGACCUGUGCUUUGGCCUUCCUUAUCCCUCAGAUGAACAUAGUAGCUAAUAACCAAACCCUCCCCAUAACCUCAUGGCCCAUCUACAAUCAAGGAGAGCCAUCCAGUUCAUACUGCUGCUAAUUGGAUUGGGGAUAAUAGCCAGAAUAGGUACAGGCAUUGGAGGAAUCACUUCAUCAACCACCUUUUACUACAAACCAUUUAAGGACUUAACAUGAUACUGAACAAGUGGGCCAAAUCAUUAGUACCCCUAUCUGGCUGAGGUAGUUUUGCAAAAUAGGAGGGGAAUAGACUUAAUAACAGCUGAAAAGGGAGGAAUCUGACUCUUCCUAAAUGAAGAAUGCUGUUAUGCAAACCAAUUGGAGAUCAUCAGGGAUAUGGCCCAGCAACUAUAGGACUGAGUUCCACAUAAAUGACAGGAAUUAGCAGAUUCCUGGAGCCACUGGAAUAACAUCUGGAGUUGACCUUCAUGGCUCCUCCACGUGACUGGCUCCCUCCUCAUAAUCCUGUUGGCACUUUUAUUGGGUCCUUGUAUCCUCAAUCUCAUUACCCACUUUCAUCCAUGAUUAGAGUCAAUCAAACUGUAACUACUAGUAACCCAAUAUAGGCCCCUUGGCCAGGAGGAACCUGAUGAAAAUGAGGAGUUUCACUCUCCCAACAUCCUGAGGUUGAUGCUGAUCCACAAGUUGGAAAAAGCACCAAAAGAGGGGAAUGAACAGGAAAAAUAUCCAAAACAGAUCCAGUAGGCCACAGGAGAAGUUAUCAGUUAAACCAGAGGUGGGCCCAGAACCAAGUAGAAGUCUCUUCACAGAGAUAACUGGCCAUUUCUGCUUCUGUAGCCAGAUUUACUGCCCUGCCCUAGCUGCUGUUCCCACUUGAGCAACCCAAAUUUCAAACCCACCUAUUAGCAGCCAGUACCACCCUUAUAACCCGAUCUCCUGCACCGCCCUAUAAAAACCCUGUAAGCUCACUGCUUAGGGCCCAGAAUUUUCAAGUGGGAGCCCAUUGAGGUUCGCUGAGUGUCACUGAGUUUCUCACCAGUCUGAUUUUUCCAUAAUACUAGAAUCAGGCUAAUACAUAGAAUAAUAUUUCCAUGAGCUCAAUGAAAGGGGUUGGUUUUAUAGACAGGCUAAAGAAAGCAGAAACAGAAUGAAGAAGGGAUGGGUCAUUUCAAAGUUUAUUUCCUCUCAAAGUGGGCAUAAGAAUAUGAAACCAUAGGAAAAUAACUGAUUUGUUAACAAAGUUACUUCAGAUUACCCUUUGCAAGAAACUUCAUUAUCAUGUCAAUUGAAACUGGCUAUUUAGGAAAUUUGAGGUUUUUUUCCCUCCUGAUUUUUUGGAAGGCUGGCUUCAUUUUGGGUGUAGAACUUUAGCACAGAUUACUUCAUUUUAAUUUUUAGUGUGGGCUUUUAAGGCUUAGUCCAAAACAGUGGACUUCUAUAUUUUUAUUUUUUAUUUAUUUAGGUACUGGGGAUUGAAGCCAAUGGUGCUUUACCAUUGAGCUACAUCCCGAGGCCUUUUUGUUUUUUAUUUUGAGACAGGGUCUCAAUAAGUUGCUGAAGAUCUUGCUAAGUUCCUGAGCAGGCCUUGAACUUGACAAUCCUCUCACCUUAGCCUCCCCAGUAGCUGGGAUUAUAGGCAUACCCUACCCCCUGUGGCUAUAAUUUUUUUGAACACAAUAAAUUCCUGUAUGCAUAUGUAA